ACUCCUACGGGAGGCAGCAGUGGGGAAUAUUGGACAAUGGGCGCAAGCCUGAUCCAGCCAUGCCGCGUGAGUGAUGAAGGCCCUAGGGUUGUAAAGCUCUUUCACCGGUGAAGAUAAUGACGGUAACCGGAGAAGAAGCCCCGGCUAACUUCGUGCCAGCAGCCGCGGUAAUACGAAGGGGGCUAGCGUUGUUCGGAUUUACUGGGCGUAAAGCGCACGUAGGCGGACUAUUAAGUCAGGGGUGAAAUCCCGGGGCUCAACCCCGGAACUGCCUUUGAUACUGGUAGUCUUGAGUUCGAGAGAGGUGAGUGGAAUUCCGAGUGUAGAGGUGAAAUUCGUAGAUAUUCGGAGGAACACCAGUGGCGAAGGCGGCUCACUGGCUCGAUACUGACGCUGAGGUGCGAAAGCGUGGGGAGCAAACAGGAUUAGAAACCCGGGUAGUCCC
rnacentral:rRNA from 1 species